AAAUCCUCACUUACGUCUCAAUCUCUGUCUUUCCAUGUUCAAGGACUUUGUAUUGUUAAAGUUUUAAUGUAUUUUUAACGUUUUAAUCACAUCAAAUAAUAUAAAUAUAAUUGCUGCUGUCACAGCCCUUAUUAAUAGCAAACCUGGAUAAAUUAUUAAAAUAAAUUAUUGAAAGGGGGCCUGGGUAGCUCAGUGAAAAAGACGCUGGCUAUCCAUCCCUGUAGUUUGCUAUUUCGAAAUCCCAGGGCAUGCUGAGUGACUCCAGCUAGGUCUCCUAAGCAACCAAAUUGACCCGGUUGCUAGGGAGGGUAGAGUCACAUGGGGUAACCUCCUCAUGGUCACUAUAAUGUGGUUCGUUAUUGGUGGGGCGCGUGGUGAGAUGAGCAUGGAUGCCGCUUUGUCUCGGUGGCAACAGGCUCAACAAGCCGCAUGAUAAGAUGGGUGGGUUGACGGUCUCAGACGCAGAGGCAGCUGGGAUUCGUCCUCCACCACCCGGAAUGAGGAGAGUCACUACGCGACGACGAGGACUUAAAAACGCAUUGGGAUUUGGGUGAAAAAUUAAAGCAAAGCAGAAAGUAAAAACACACAUGUGGUAGUGCUGUGGUGUAGUGACAGCUCGGUUGCUCUGGUGCCAUGUUCAGAUGCAUCAGGGGCAGAUACUAAAUUGGAAAGGGACACACGCACACAAAACAAUUCAACAUUUCAGAAACUAUUACACUGUGACUGCCAUCCACAUACACUUUAACAUAUGUUUUCUGAUGCAUGACAUGGAGAGGCAGCAGCAGAAGAAGAAAACAGAGGAUAUGAAGACAGCUGUUGGUCAACGACAUCUGCACAAGCCUGAUAAGAGGGGCAAAUGCCAAUAAGAUAAAGCACAAUCAUACAAAACCACAAUUACAUGCACACAAACAUCUCAAUUCAAUGGAGCUACAUUCCAAUGUGAAGAGGCUUAAAAAGCUUUUAUUGCAAAAACAAAAACAAAACAUGUAGAAAUCACUCAAUGUAAAAUUAUAAACACUGCUAUUAUUUUCCAAAACACAAGACAAAUGCGUAUCUUUGUAGCAGCUGAAACCCUUGAACAUAGCUUUGAUCUGAAAUGAAAUACCGGUAAUAAUAUUUAAAUCUUACAUUUAUUGCAAAGAGAUUAUUCUAAAAUAUGUAAUAAACAGCAAAGCAAAAACUAAUACUAUCCUAACUAAUAAGUAAAGAAUUCAAGCAUUGAAAACAAGUACACAGUCAGUAAUAAAAAAAGAACACAACAAAUUACAAGCAAGAGCACAAAUUAAAUGGACAGUGCUUUAGGUUUUUUAGGUACAGUAGGUCUAUCUAACAGUAUUCAUGUAAGAACUACAGAAAAUGAAUGAAGUAAUCAAGUGUCAAAUAAAACCGCAUAGUAUAAAUAUGCACAGUAUAAAUUAAAUAUGCAUUGGCACUUAUUAAAGCUACAAAAGUCAUUCAGUUGAGAGCAAUGAGUGAUUUUCUCUUUUUCUUUUGUAGUUUGAUUAACAUUAAUGUCAGAGUCUGCAGCAGGUGUAUGAGGCUGUAGCCACUUUAAGGCCAAAUGCAUGGAUACAAAUAAUAACAUUAAAAGGCGCCUAUUAUGCCCCUUUUCAAAAGAUGUAAUUUAAAUCUUUGGUGUCCCCAGAAAAAAAGAAAUCAGUUUAAAGAAAUAAACAAAAGUCUGCUGUCCUGGCAUCCUCUUACACCAAGGAAGGAGAUGUGUGGACCCUCUACCAACCCCCUCCCCAUCCUCACUGGAUGAAAAUUUUCCAGGGACAAAUGUGAUGGUUCCCAAAAAUGUCUGGCGAGCGGCUAACCAUGCAAGCACUGGCACUGCCAUGGCACGGAUUUUGCUCAUCAUGGGAGUAUUUCACAUAGAAACACUCAUGGAGAGUAAUUUGAGAGAUGCUGUGAUGAUGAAACAUCCCAGAACCACUUCUGGUCACAUUGAUACAGCCUUAAACUGCAAAAUGGCAGAGCUCCAAAUUGCAUCAGCCAAAAAAUAAUUAAAUAAUAAAUUAAAAAAAAUAAUAAUAAUUUGAAUUUAAGUAAUUGUCACUUAAGUGUCUAGUAUUAAAUAUAUUUUAAAUAACUUUUACAGAACUUUAUUAAUUCUAUUACUAUAGUGUAAUUGCAGUGAACAUUUAAAAAAAAAUAUCCAUUUAUCCAUAAUUACAAAGAUAAAUAUCCUUUACCCAUAUGAACAUGUAUUCUAUAGGUAUGUAUGUGCCAUAUGUGUGUAUUUGGGAAAAUAUGUUACAUAUUUGAAAACGUACAUUUUUGUAAUAUUUUGAAAUAUAUGUUGCAUAUAUGUACAAGUAUCUG